CAGAUCAUCCGUCAGGUCCAGGCCGUGUUCCCUUUCUUCAGGGAUGACUACGAGGGUUGGAAGGACUCCAUCCGUCACAACCUUUCCUCCAACCCGUGCUUCCGAAAGGUGGGGCCCUCGAAGGUCGGAGCCGGGGGGGGCGGGGCGGGCGAGUAAGCCCCAAGCAUCCGGGAUUAGGCGGCCCCACCCAAACCUACCGCCCCCCCAGGUGCCCAAGGACCCUGCGAAACCUCAGGCCAAGGGCAACUUCUGGGCCGUGGAUGUGAGCCUCAUCCCGGCAGAAGCGCUACGCCUGCAGAACACAGCCCUGUGCCGGCGCUGGCAGAACCCGGAGGCCCGCAGAGCAUUCGCCAAGGACCUGAGCCCUUACGUGCUGCAUGGCCAGACCUACCGGCCGCCCACACCCCAUACGCCACCCAGCGAAGGCUUCAGCAUCAAGUCCCUGUUAAGGGACCCCGGGGAGAGAGCACCCUGGCCCC
rnacentral:lncRNA from 1 species